ACCGCCCGUUGAAGGAAAGGAAGGUAUUUUGAGUGCAUGUCUCGGUGCAUCUUCAAAGCUGAUUGCUUCACCGUUCAGCUAACACUGUUCAGUUGGACUCGACGAGAAAAGACGCCUCCCCGGAUCUUAAGUUUUCUCUGUGAUCAUGAAGGCCCUUUGUUUUUGUCGUACUUGCACUUUUGGUGGUCGUUGUAAUGUCACGCGCUCGUCAUCUGAAAAAACCAGUAUCGCCGCUGGAAGGAAAACAGUUCGAUCCCGAGAUAAAAAUGAAUAGCAGGGAGGCAAAGCAUUUUCUUUUAAAAAAGGGAGACCCCGCCUGUAGUGAAGUCUGUUGGAGAAACUGUUCUAGGGAACUGCGAGCUGGUCAUACAAGAAGCUGCGAACAUUGCUGUAAUUAAUAGCAAGUGCCCCAGCUCCAAGUUCUAUGCCGCAGACUUGGUAUCGUGGAAAUACCAAGGACUAAAGGAGAUUUUUUACUUUGCAGUGUGCUAGUGUGUGUGAAUGCAGUUUAGUUUAUGAGAUGUAAGGGUUGAAAACAGAAUAGUUAUAAUUGAGGGGUUUAAUGCAGUGUAUACAAUUUAUGUCUUAAAGCAUUCAAAGAUAAAACGAGAAGUAAUUCAAUUUCACAUUGCAGUCUCCGUGUAUCAAUUGUAGUAAAGUGUAACUUAAGUUGAAUAAAAUGUGGCGGCCUUCU